rnacentral:rRNA from 1 species
UACGUAGGGGGCGAGCGUUGCCCGGAUUCACUGGGCGUAAAGCGCGUGUAGGCGGUCUGUUAAGUCGGGUGUGAAAUCUCCGGGCCCAACCCGGAAAUUGCAUCCGAUACUGGCAGACUUGAGGACGGUAGAGGUUGGUGGAAUAGCCGGUGUACCGGUGAAAUGGGCAGAUAUCGGCUAGAACACCAGUGGCGAAGGCGGCCAACUGGGCCGUUCCUGACGCUGAGACGCGAAAAGCCAGGGGGAGCGAACCGG